UGGCUAUUUUUAUUCACAGCUCCAGAGGGGGUACCUACAGAGGUAGAGGCCAAGACAGCACCGGUUAAUGGCACGGACGGUCUCAAGGAUGUCACUUUUUCUUGGGCGGAAGUCCCUCUGGAACAUCAGAAUGGCCCUAUCAUUCGCUACCAUCUGAACCUGACCACAGGAGGCAAAGCCAUUAGCAGUGCCUCUGUAGAUGGGAACACAACAGGCUACACGUUCAGAAACCUCGCCGUGAAUCAGGCGUACCAGGUCGUGCUUUGGGCAGUCAACGCCGCUGGCGCGUCACCAACGGUCACAUACGACAUUCCAGAAGAUAAAGAAGUGCAUCCAGCAACUCCCCGUGGUAGGC